rnacentral:rRNA from 1 species
UUGCCUCGUGGUGGGGGAUAGCCGGCCCAACGGCCGGGUAAUACCGCAUAGGGUGCUGUCUUCGCAUGGAGAGAGCAGCAAAGCCCUGGAGCAAUCCAGUGGCGCCACAGGGGGGGCUCGCGGCCUAUCAGCUAGUUGGGGGGGUAAUGGCCCACCAAGGCGACGACGGGUAGCUGGUCUGAGAGGAUGGCCAGCCACAUUGGGACUGAGAGACGGCCCAG